GCAGUGCAACGACUUUAGCGUUUCAAUUCACUGACUACGAAUCAGUAGGUCGGGGGUUCGAGUCCCUUCUGCCGUACCA
rnacentral:tRNA from 1 species